ACGGAAGGCAGCAGUGGGGAAUAUUGGACAAUGGGGGAAACCCUGAUCCAGCGACGCCGCGUGAGUGAAGAAGUAUUUCGGUAUGUAAAGCUCUAUCAGCAAGGAAGAAAAUGACGGUACUUGACUAAGAAGCUCCGGCUAAAUACGUGCCAGCAGCCGCGGUAAUACGUAUGGAGCAAGCGUUAUCCGGAUUUACUGGGUGUAAAGGGAGCGUAGACGGUAAAGCAAGUCUGAAGUGAAAUCCCGGGGCUCAACCCCGGAACUGCUUUGGAAACUGUUUAACUAGAGUGCAGGAGAGGUAAGCGGAAUUCCUAGUGUAGCGGUGAAAUGCGUAGAUAUUAGGAGGAACACCAGUGGCGAAGGCGGCUUACUGGACUGUAACUGACGUUGAGGCUCGAAAGCGUGGGGAGCAAUCAGGAUUAGAUACCCUGGUA
rnacentral:rRNA from 1 species